GAUGAACGCUGGCGGCGUGCCUAAUACAUGCAAGUCGAGCGAACAGACGAGGAGCUUGCUCCUCUGACGUUAGCGGCGGACGGGUGAGUAACACGUGGAUAACCUACCUAUAAGACUGGGAUAACUUCGGGAAACCGGAGCUAAUACCGGAUAAUAUAUUGAACCGCAUGGUUCAAUAGUGAAAGACGGUUUUGCUGUCACUUAUAGAUGGAUCCGCGCCGCAUUAGCUAGUUGGUAAGGUAAAGGCUUACCAAGGCAACGAUGCGUAGCCGACCUGAGAGGGUGAUCGGCCACACUGGAACUGAGACACGGUCCAGACUCCUACGGGAGGCAGCAGUAGGGAAUCUUCCGCAAUGGGCGAAAGCCUGACGGAGCAACGCCGCGUGAGUGAUGAAGGUCUUCGGAUCGGAAAACUCUGUUAUUAGGGAAGAACAAAUGUGUAAGUAACUAUGCACGUCUUGACGGUACCUAAUCAGAAAGCCACGGCUAACUACGUG
rnacentral:rRNA from 1 species